rnacentral:sRNA from 4 species
AUUCUGCCCAAGCGGGGAAGGAUGAGAAGCUUCGACCAAGGUUCGACUUGAGCGCCAGCGAGAGAGCGUUGCCGCAGGCAACGACCCGAAGGGCGAAGCGCGCAGCGCUGAG